AGCGCUUUACUUGGAUUUCUUCGGAAUGACGAGUAUUGUGACUGAGCGGCGGACGGGUGAGUAACGCGUGGGUAACCUGCCUCAUACAGGGGGAUAGCAGUUAGAAAUGACUGCUAAUACCGCAUAAGACCACAGCACCGCAUGGUGCAGGGGUAAAAACUCCGGUGGUAUGAGAUGGACCCGCGUCUGAUUAGCUGGUUGGUGGGGUAACGGCCUACCAAGGCGACGAUCAGUAGCCGGCCUGAGAGGGCGACCGGCCACAUUGGGACUGAGACACGGCCCAAACUCCUACGGGAGGCAGCAGUGGGGAAUAUUGCACAAUGGGGGAAACCCUGAUGCAGCGACGCCGCGUGAAGGAAGAAGUAUUUCGGUAUGUAAACUUCUAUCAGCAGGGAAGAAAAUGACGGUACCUGACUAAGAAGCCCCGGCUAACUACGUGCCAGCAGCCGCGGUAAUACGUAGGGGGCAAGCGUUAUCCGGAUUUACUGGGUGUAAAGGGAGCGUAGACGGAGAGGCAAGUCUGAUGUGAAAACCCGGGGCUCAACCCCGGGACUGCAUUGGAAACUGUUUUUCUAGAGUGUCGGAGAGGUAAGCGGAAUUCCUAGUGUAGCGGUGAAAUGCGUAGAUAUUAGGAGGAACACCAGUGGCGAAGGCGGCUUACUGGACGAUGACUGACGUUGAGGCUCGAAAGCGUGGGGAGCA
rnacentral:rRNA from 1 species